UCCUCUCUCAAACCCCGGGUUUGAUGUUGGACCGGCGUUGUUUGGGUCAUCCGAACAACUGGUCUCAAAGACAAUGACGGCGUCCGUGGGACCCUCUUCGCAACGAGCUUUUCGAAGCACGCGUCGAGUUUCAAGGACCUUCCGGGCCGGUCUCCUUUAUAUUUUUCUUA
rnacentral:misc_RNA from 1 species